rnacentral:rRNA from 1 species
UACGAAGGGGGCUAGCGUUGUUCGGAAUCACUGGGCGUAAAGCGCACGUAGGCGGACUUUCAGGUCAGGGGUGAAAUCCCGGGGCUCAACCUCGGAAUUGCCUUUGAUACUGUAGGUCUCGAGUCCGGAAGAGGUGGGUGGAAUUCCUAGCGUAGAGGUGAAAUUCGUAGAUAUUAGGAAGAACACCGGUGGCGAAGGCGGCCCACUGGUCCGGUACUGACGCUGAGGUGCGAAAGCGUGGGGAGCAAACAGG